rnacentral:rRNA from 1 species
GCCAGACUCCUACGGGAGGCAGCAGUGGGGAAUAUUGCACAAUGGGGGAAACCCUGAUGCAGCGACGCCGCGUGAGUGAAGAAGUAUCUCGGUAUGUAAAGCUCUAUCAGCAGGGAAGAAAAUGACGGUACCUGACUAAGAAGCCCCGGCUAACUCCGUGCCAGCAGCCGCGGUAAUACGGAGGGUGCAAGCGUUAUCCGGAUUUACUGGGUGUAAAGGGAGCGUAGACGGCAGUGCAAGUCCGGAGUGAAAGCCCGGGGCUCAACCCUGGGACUGCUCUGGAAACUGUAAAGCUGGAGCGCGGGAGGGGCAGGCGGAAUUCCUGGUGUAGCGGUGAAAUGCGUAGAUAUCAGGAGGAACACCGGCGGCGAAGGCGGCCUGCUGGACCGUAACUGACGUUGAGGCUCGAAAGCGUGGGGAGCAAACAGGAUUAGAUACCCGAGUA